GACGAGUGGCGGACGGGUGAGUAAUGCUUGGGAAUUUGCCUAGUAGUGGGGGACAACACGGGGAAACUCGUGCUAAUACCGCAUAAGCCCUACGGGGGAAAGCGGGGGAUCUUCGGACCUCGCGCUAUUAGAUGAGCCUGCGUCGGAUUAGCUAGUUGGUAGGGUAAAGGCCUACCAAGGCGACGAUCCGUAGCUGGUCUGAGAGGAUGAUCAGCCACACUGGGACUGAGACACGGCCCAGACUCC
rnacentral:rRNA from 1 species